UAAUUUUUACCUUGCACGUGCGCAAGAGAUAGGAUGAAUUAUGAAUUUAAGCAACAGUAAAAUACAUAACGAUUUCUGGAAUAAGUGGUGCUUAGUGUAAAUGUUCCUUGCUGCUGCGGUCUUUACCCAAUUUUUAUCCGAAUAGGGCUACGUCUUAUUGAGAACCAAUCAAUUCUAGGGGCAGAAACUUGGGUCGCCGCAAGCAUCAGCAGCAGAAGUAACAACAAAAAAAAAAAAAAAUAGGUGGAUACCAAAGAAAAAAAAUGUUGAACCAAUGCGACAAUCCGAGAAGAAGAAAUAGUGUUUUUGAAUAGAAGAAGUAGAAGUGAAAAAACAGUUUAUUUAGUGUAGUCGAAGCAGAAACUUAAAUUCCAAUUACUUAUUAGUACUAACAACAAUAAACAGCGACAUCUGAAGUCACAAAUUGCAUCAACUCAGCAUCAGCCUCUCUCGCGCGUUCAUUCAAUAAGCAUUUCGGUAUUUAAAGUAACACAAAACUAGCAUUACCCAAACGAGGCCAACCAAAAAAGAGAAAAAUUUUGAUUUGUUACUUACCUGUGUGGAACCAAGUUAUCAUAAAACAAACUCGUCACCAUGUCCAUGGCUGGGCAAACAAUCAACGACAGACUGUUGGCUGCCAGGCACAGUUUGUCCGGUCAAGGUCUGGCCAAAUCGGUAUGCAAGGCCACAACGGAGGAUUGGUCCGAAGAAGAAACAUUUAGAUUAUUGUUAUUAAGGAAAUCUAUCGACACAAUCGAAACUAUCUCAAGACCCAGAAGCAACAAAUAAAUUGGUGGACCAAUUAUUUUUAUUGUAUUUUGCGCCGUAAAAAAAUGUUGGGAAAGAACAAAAACCCCUAAGUGAAUAGUGUCACAGCAAGAUACAUGUGAUAGAGCUAUCAAUGCAAGAGAAAAAAAAUUUAUAAAUUUAAUCGAUCAUCCAGCAAGUCCGACCACCAUCACCGCUCCAGUCAUCGUGGGAGGCGCAGAAAACUUGCACGCUCAAUCCGACGUGCCCAUGUAAAACCCUAUGCGUACGGUUAAUUCACAUUUAACUUUGGACAGACUCCCGACAGAUCUCUUUAUGUUUUCAGUACCCUAUAUUUGUAGAAAAGAGAAAGUUUUGAUAUAAGUGUUAAGGCAGGACAAUUGUGUACUUGUUUUAUAUUAAGUUACUUUUCAGAAUUCUAUAGGAAAGUGUCCGAGGCGCCUAGGAUGAGCUCAUUGUAGGCAGCUUUGGUGGGUUUUUUGAGAGAGGGUUAUUGCCCAAAUAACUACGGCUGGUGCCUCCACCUGUCGAGCCUAAGUAUUAUUCGUAUUAUUUUUAUUCUAGAAAUAAUUUCGCUGUCUUUGGAAACCUCCACAUCUAUAUCCGAUUCAUAUUCUGAUUCAAAAGUAAUAUUUUCUUAAUUUUCUAUAAUUUUGCCAGAUUUUAAACAAUUUGAUAGCCAUAGUCGUAUAUUGUCUAUUCUACAACUAUCUUUGGAAUCCUAGAAUAUAUCUCCAAGCAAAGCUAUCAAGGAUUUACUUCCAAAAUUCUUCACUGCGUUCAAAUGUGCCAUGGGAUCAUUCUUCAAUUCACAAAGUACUAAUUCUUCUCUUUUUCUGUUAAUAUUGCUCACAUGACAAUCAAUAAAAUUUUAAAAAUUUUUAUUUGAACUAUCAUUUUACCCUGCUGAUUCCCAUUUGGAUCCCGAUUCCAAGGCACUAUGUAUCAUUGUACGUAUGCCUCGAAUAAGUGUUCCGAUGUUGCACAAUUGUCUUCCUUUUAAUUCAGUCAAUGGGUCUAUUUCUUCCAUUAAAUUUUCUUCCCUCACUUCAUUCUCGAAAUCUGUUAUUGUUCCGAUGUUGCACAAUUGUCUUCCUAUUCCUUCUAACUCAGUCAACGGGUCUAUUUCUUCUAUUAAAUUUUCUUCCCUCACUUCAUUCUCGAAUUCUCUUAUCAAAUUAUAAGUCAUUCUUAGGCACCGCGAAUUAAUUUUUG
rnacentral:sRNA from 1 species